rnacentral:rRNA from 1 species
ACCGUACUCCUACGGGAGGCAGCAGUGGGGAAUUUUGGACAAUGGGGGCAACCCUGAUCCAGCAAUGCCGCGUGAGUGAAGAAGGCCUUCGGGUUGUAAAGCUCUUUUGUCAGGGAAGAAACGGUAGUAGCUAAUAUCUAUUACUAAUGACGGUACAUGAAGAAUAAGCACCGGCUAACUACGUGACAGCAGCCGCGGUAAUACGUAGGGUGCAAGCGUUAAUCGGAAUUACUGGGCGUAAAGCGUGCGCAGGCGGUUGUGUAAGUCAGAUGUGAAAUCCCCGGGCUCAACCUGGGAAUUGCAUUUGAGACUGCACGGCUAGAGUGUGUCAGCGGGGAGUAGAAUUCCACGUGUAGCAGUGAAAUGCGUAGAUAUGUGGAGGAAUACCGAUGGCGAAGGCAGCCCCCUGGGAUAGCACUGACGCUCAUGCACGAAAGCGUGGGGAGCAAACAGGAUUAGAUAACCUAGUAGUCCUUGAC